CAAAGAACUGCCCCGCCCCAAAUGUCAUUUGUGUGGGAGCCAAGAAACCCUGCUAUGGGGCAGUGGUCAGAGACCUUUGUCGUGCUUUGAAAGGGGCUGGGCUGGGCUGGGCAGGGCAGGGCGGGUCGUGGCCCACCUGGGGCCACAGUUCAGAGCCACACUUGGGUCUUUGAGGCUGCCCACCCUCCCAGCUGCCAGCAUGGGGUUGGGGGGUGUCCACCCCCAUCAGACUGAGGAGGAAACGGACACUGUGUCACCCAGAAGCAUCCCUAUGUCACCCUGUGAGGCUGGCCUUGGACCCAGGACUCUGGGCGCCUGGUCAGCACCCCAGUGUGAACACAUCCUGCCCUGGGGCCUGGUCCCAGCAGCUCACACAGACCAGGGCUUGCCCAAAGGCAGGUAGGCAGGGCCACUGCUGACCAUGCACCUGGUGGGCCGUGAUUCUGGAACUAAUGGUCUCUGCCUGGCAGGGAGGCCGCCAGGGCCUCUGGGCUUCACCCCUCCCAACCUUCACAGGGGACCUCACCUCAGUGGGAAUGUUCUGGAGCCGGAACCCAAGGUUGGAAUCCCAGCUCCUCCCCUUUCUAGGGCAAGCUCCCAGCCUGUCUGUACUCAGUCUCCCCAACUGUCAAAUGGUAAUAAAACAGUCCUGUCCUCACUGAGUUGUUUGGAUGGGUGAGCAUCAGGUGUCUAGGGCACAGCAUGCUGUGAAGGAGUUAGGAGGGCCAGGUGAAGGAGCCAUGCAGGGCCGGGCCUCCUGGGUAAUGGGGCUAAGAGGAGAAUUCUGUAUGUGGUUCUGAGAAGGAGCAGAGUCCAGCUCUUUUGGAUGUUUGUAUUAGGAAAUUUACUAGAGACCAUGUCACUGCUCCACUCGGAAUCCUCGGGUGGCUUCCCAGUGCCCUUGACAUGGAAUCAAACUCCUCGCUUGGCCAUGCAAUCCGGGCCUGGUAUCCUGGCCCCCUCCCCAGUCCACUGUGGUUGGCUGUGCUGGCCUCGGGGAUCCCAGGCCCUCCACCCUCAUGCCCCACUGAGCACUUGCACCUGUGUCCCACCUCCAGCCCUCACCAGCUGUCCUCCAGCUCUCAUCUGUGAUGCAUCCGCCAGACCUCUGCUCCCAGCCUGCCCUCUCUAAUCUAUAAUCUCAUUUUAUUCUCUGUGUGAGCAUUCAGACUGAUGCUGCCCUGUGCCCGUGCCUGUCAUCAUCCCAGCACACGUGCAGUGUCCCAUAAAUACUGCAGAAUGACUGAGUGAUCAGACCUAGAGAGCCCCAGCCCUGGGUCCACCCUCACUGUGCCUGCACGCGGUGCCAGAGGAGGGCCUGGCCAGGGGUUUGUGGCAUCAUCAUCCCCUGGAACUAUCCCCUGAUGAUGCUGUCCUGGAAGACAGCUGCCUGCCUGGCUGCCGGGAACACAGUGGUGAUCAAGCCUGCUCAGGUGACCCCACUCACAGCCUUGAAGUUUGCAGAGCUGACAUUAAAGGCCGGCAUUCCCAAAGGUGUGGUUAACGUCCUCCCAGGAUCUGUGCUCCUUGCUUUUUCCUGUGGAUUCUGACUACUG
rnacentral:lncRNA from 1 species